GACGAACGCUGGCGGCGUGCUUAACACAUGCAAGUCGAACGGGUCUGCCCUGUUUUUUGCGGGGUGGGUCAGUGGCGAACGGGUGAGUAACACGUGAGUAACCUGCCCCUCACUUCUGGAUAACCGCUUGAAAGGGUGGCUAAUACGGGGUGUUCUGGCUGUGCCGCAUGGUGUGGCUGGGAAAGAUUCACUUUUGUGGUGUUUUGGUGAGGGAUGGGCUCGCGGCCUAUCAGCUUGUUGGUGGGGUGAUGGCCUGCCAAGGCUUUGACGGGUAGCCGGCCUGAGAGGGUGGGCGGUCACACUGGGACUGAGAUACGGCCCAGACUCCUGCGGGAGGCAGCAGUGGGGGGUAUUGCACAAUGGGCGGAAGCCUGAUGCAGCGACGUCGCGUGAGGGAUGGAGGCCUUCGGGUUGUGAACCUCUUUCGCCGGUGAAGAAGGUCCUGCUCUUUGUGGUGGGGUUGACGGUAGCCGGGUUAUGAAGCGCCGGCUAACUACGUG
rnacentral:rRNA from 1 species